GUUUCUCUCUCUCCCCCAACCAUUUCCGCUUCCAGCAAUCUCAGUGACUCAUUGCAACAAGUUACCUUUUAAGUUGGGAGAAAUUCUUUUAUUUUUUUGCAGUGGUUGUGCUGUUUUCUCAUCUUCACCACUUUCAAGAAUCUGCAAAAUUCCCCGAAUUUCCUCCUUGGAGUCAGUUCCUCUGCCUCCUCCUCUCAGAGCUGGAUUCUGGAUACAUACUG